UCAUCUGCAACACCAUGUUUACUGGCCUGGCAACAUGUCAUAUUGUGUCAAGUCCUUAGUCCUAAGAAGACUCGCUGAACAGAAAGUGAACAUUGGCUCUGAGUAAGACCUGUAGGAUUGUGGCAUUGAGGGCAUUGACUAAGAAACAGCAUUUUCUCCAGAGAUGAUGCCAUUAUUCGACUGGGGGAUGACAGCAUUCACCAGCUCCAUCAUCUUAUCCACUGGGACCAGGAUCUCAUAAAGUGCUCUCAACAUAGACAUCUCAUAUAACGGGUAAUAACUCCAGCCAGUUAAUACAGAGGAAUUAUCAGGCAGAGAAGCAAUGAACCUGGCAAAAAAGAAAGAAUAAAAUCACAUGGCCUGUACUAUAUUAUCAGCAUGGCGUGAACACGGAGCAUUGAGGUAGGUGGAGAGAAGCACAGUAGGAAAUAGAGAUGGGCAAUGAACGUGUAAGAUCACCACGACGGUUUUUGUGAGAUAAGAAGACGAGGGCUGAGACAUUCUGUAGAUGAGGCGAAAAAAGAGGUUUGCUUGUCAUGUGUAAGAGCGGCAAUAAGGGAAGGAUCAUAUAGGUGCAUUCACUAAAGACUCAUAAUCUGCCUAAUCCAUAAGAAAGGUUCCUUGAGCUUUCAUUACACUAUUGUGUAAUGCCAUUCUUGAAACAAU